GAUGAACGCUGGCGGCGUGCCUAAUACAUGCAAGUCGAGCGAACGGACGAGAAGCUUGCUUCACUGAUGUUAGCGGCGGAAGGGUGAGUAACACGUGGAUAACCUACCUAUAAGACUGGGAUAACUUCGGGAAACCGGAGCUAAUACCGGAUGAUAUUUUGAACCGCAUGGUUCAAAAGUGAAAGACGGUCUUGCUGUCACUUAUAGAUGGAUCCGCGCUGCAUUAGCUAGUUGGUAAGGUAACGGCUUACCAAGGCAACGAUGCAUAGCCGACCUGAGAGGGUGAUCGGCCACACUGGAACUGAGACACGGUCCAGACUCCUACGGGAGGCAGCAGUAGGGAAUCUUCCGCAAUGGGCGAAAGCCUGACGGAGCAACGCCGCGUGAGUGAUGAAGGUCUUCGGAUCGUAAAACUCUGUUAUUAGGGAAGAACAGAUGUGUAAGUAACUGUGCACAUCUUGACGGUACCUAAUCAGAAAGCCACGGCUAACUACGUG
rnacentral:rRNA from 1 species